GAGCGAGAUCUUCGGGUCUAGCGGCGGACGGGUGAGUAACGCGUGGGAACGUGCCCUUUGCUACGGAAUAGUCCUGGGAAACUGGGGGUAAUACCGUAUACGCCCUUUUGGGGAAAGAUUUAUCGGCGAAGGAUCGGCCCGCGUUGGAUUAGGUAGUUGGUGGGGUAAUGGCCUACCAAGCCGACGAUCCAUAGCUGGUUUGAGAGGAUGAUCAGCCACACUGGGACUGAGACACGGCCCAGACUCCUACGGGAGGCAGCAGUGGGGAAUCUUAGACAAUGGGGGCAACCCUGAUCUAGCCAUGCCGCGUGAGUGAUGAAGGCCUUAGGGUUGUAAAGCUCUUUCAGCUGGGAAGAUAAUGACGGUACCAGCAGAAGAAGCCCCGGCUAACUCCGUG
rnacentral:rRNA from 1 species